UGGAGAGUUGCCCAGAGGACCAGAAAAGGCAAGAGGAGAGAGCAAGUGCAAGGAUGAUGACAGAUAUAUGGAAGGCAGCAUUAGAUCUGCUUCUCUGUGCUGCUAACAUCCCAGCCCUUGUUCCGAGUACAGACACUUGGGG
rnacentral:lncRNA from 14 species